AUGCCUUCGUGCCUUAGACAUGUGGAAGAAACCUUGGUUCUUGAAUCAGGGCCCGGUGCUGGGAGCUCUUCGUCGCCGUGUAACGCUAGCGACAGACGCGUCCCUCACCGGUUGGGGUGCGGUCAUGAGUGGCCACCCUGCCUGCGGUCUGUGGAGUGGUCGCCACCUGACGUGGCACAUCAAUUGCCUAGAGAUGUUAGCAGUCUAUCGAGCAUUAAAAUAUUUCCUCCCAGACCUGAGAGGUCACCAUGUGUUGGUGCGCACCGACAACACAUCAGUGGUCUCUUAUAUCAAUCACCAGGGGGGUCUGCGCUCACGCCCCUUGUACAAGCUGGCAUACCAGAUCCUUCUCUGGUCCCAGGGCAAACUCCUCUCGAUCAGAGCAGUGUAUAUUCCUGGGAGAUUGAAUGUGGGAGCAGACAUACUGUCGAGGCAGGGGCCGAGGCCCGGGGAAUGGAUGCUUCACCCCGAGGUGGUGAAGCAGAUAUGGAGAGUGUUUGGCAAAGCUCAGGUGGACCUCUUUGCGACUCAAGAGACAUCGCAAUGUCCCCUCUGGUUCUCUCUAGUUCAUCCAGCUCCUCUGGGACUGGACGCUAUGGUACAGACCUGGCCGAGGCUUCGUCUGUACGCUUUUCCCCCUACCGCUCUGCUCCCGGGAGUUCUGGCGAGAGUACGCCAGGACGGGGUCCGUCUGUUGUUAGUAGCCCCGUUCUGGCCGGGCCGAAUAUGGUUCUCAGAUCUAGUCUCGCUCCUCGACGGCUCUCCGUGGGAGAUACCGAUCAGGAAAGACCUACUCUCACAAGCGCAGGGCACGAUAAUCCACCCUCGCCCGGAGGUGUUCAAGCUGUGGGUGUGGCCCCUGAGGGGGCACAACUGUUAGCAGCUGGUCUCUCAACCGAGGUUGUUGAGACCCUCCUCCAGUCCAGAGCUCCCUCUACGAGGAAACUGUACGCCCUGAAGUGGUCAUUCUUUACUUCAUGGUGCAGAGAUCGCCAUCUUGACCCUGUUAACUGCCCAGUUGGUACAGUUCUGGAGUUUUUACAAGCUAGGCUCUCUGCAGGGUUAUCCCACUCCACCUUAAAGGUGUACGUGGCGGCCAUAGCUGCUUUCCAUGUCCCUUUCAAUGAUCAGUCAGUGGGUAGACACCCCCUAGUUACACGUUUCCUCCGAGGUGCAUUGAGGCUGAGACCUCCAGUACGGUCCCGUAUUCCCCCAUGGGAUUUGGUUGUGGUUCUAGAGGCUCUUUGUAAAGCUCCAUUCGAGCCAAUUCAAGAUAUCUCAGAUAGACAUCUGACACUAAAAACUGCCCUGCUACUGGCAAUCACCUCGCUGAAACGAGUUGGAGAUCUCCAGGCCCUUUCGGUGGCCCCUACUUAUUUAGACUUUGCCCCUGGUAUGGCCAAAGCAUUCUUAUACCCUCGAGCGGGUUAUGUUCCAAAGGUUCCCUCUGUUACACCACAGCCUAUCGUACUGCAGGCCUUCUGUCCUCCUCCCUUUCGGGAGCCAGACCAAGAGAAGCUAAACUGUACACUCUAA
rnacentral:lncRNA from 1 species